AGAUGUGAGGAGGACCUGGCUGUGUGUGACAUCUGUCACCCUGUUGAUUGCCAGGGUGGAUUUGGUUGAUCUGACUGGAUGUACAGGUGCCCCUUUCCUCCCUCAUUAUUCCAUGUGUGUCCCUCCUGAAGUAGCAAUGCUCAAUGGAAGAGGGAAACCUUCCCUGAACAGGGGAAGACAAGAGAGUGGAUCUUUGAUGAAAGGUAGCUGUGCUGCCCUUCUAGAACCCCCAAGCAAGCUCUUAAGAAGCCACAGGGAGCGUGUAAAAGGCCUAGGAAUAGAUUUUCUUUCUAUGAAUG
ensembl:misc_RNA 7SK 7SK RNA